rnacentral:rRNA from 1 species
UACGUAGGUGGCAAGCGUUGUCCGGAUUUACUGGGCGUAAAGAGCGCGCAGGCGGUCGAUUAAGUCGAGUGUGAAAGCCCCCGGCUCAACUGGGGAGGGUCAUUUGAUACUGGUCGACUCGAAGGUGGGAGAGGGAAGUGGAAUUCCCGGUGUAGUGGUGAAAUGCGUAGAUAUCGGGAGGAACACCAGUGGCGAAGGCGACUUCCUGGCCCAUUCUUGACGCUGAGGCGCGAAAGCUAGGGGAGCAAACGGG